GAUGAAGAACGCAGCGAAAUGCGAUACGUAGUGUGAAUUGCAGAAUUCAGUGAAUCAUCGAAUCUUUGAACGCUCAUUGCAACUCUCGGUAUUCCGGGAGGUAUGCCUGUUCGAGCGUCAUUUGUACCCUCAAGCUCUGCUUGGUGUUGGGUGUUUGUUCCGCCUCUGUGUGUGAACUCGCCUCAAAACAAUUGGCAGCCGGCGUACUUGUUUCGGAGCGCAGCACAUUUUGCGAUCCAGAUCAACGUACAGCGGCAUCCAAGAAGCCUUAUUUAACGCUCUUGACCUCGGAUCAGGUAGGGAUACCCGCUGAACUUAAGCAUAUCAAUAAGCGGAGGA
rnacentral:misc_RNA from 1 species